AACGAACGCUGGCGGCAGGCUUAACACAUGCAAGUCGAACGCCCCGCAAGGGGAGUGGCAGACGGGUGGGUAACGCGUGGGAACAUACCCUUUUCUACGGAAUAGCUCUGGGAAACUGGAAUUAAUACCGUAUACGCCCUACGGGGGAAAGAUUUAUCGGGGAAGGAUUGGCCCGCGUUGGAUUAGCUAGUUGGUGGGGUAAAGGCGUACGAAGGCGACGAUCCAUAGCUGGUCUGAGAGGAUGAUCAGCCACAUUGGGACUGAGACACGGCCCAAACUCCUACGGGAGGCAGCAGUGGGGAAUAUUGGACAAUGGGCGCAAGCCUGAUCCAGCCAUGCCGCGUGAGUGAUGAAGGCCUUAGGGUUGUAAAGCUCUUUCACCGAUGAAGAUAAUGACGGUAGUCGGAGAAGAAGCCCCGGCUAACUUCGUG
rnacentral:rRNA from 1 species